CCUACGGGAGGCAGCAGUGAGGAAUAUUGGUCAAUGGGCGAGAGCCUGAACCAGCCAAGUCGCGUGAAGGAUGAAGGCUCUAUGGUUUGUAAACUUCUUUUAUAUGGGAAUAAAGUGAGGCACGUGUUCACUUUUGUAUGUACCAUAUGAAUAAGCCUCGGCUAACUCCGUGCCCGCAGCCGGGGUAAUACGGGGGGUGCGGGCGUUAUCCGGAUUUAUUGGGUUUAAAGGGGUGGUAGGUGGUUAAUUAAGUCCGCGGGGAAAGUUUGUGGCUCAACCAUAAAAGUGCCGUUGAAACUGGUGGACUUGAGUAGAUGUGAGGUAGGCGGAAUGCGUGGUGUAGCGGUGAAAUGCAUAGAUAUCACGCAGAACUCCGAUUGCGAAGGCAGCUUACUAAACUAUAACUGACACUGAGGCACGAAAGCGUGGGGAUCGAACAGGAUUAGAUACCCCAGUAGUC
rnacentral:rRNA from 1 species